CAGGGUGACAAUAUACAGCCUUGACGCACUCCUUUUCCUAUUUAGGACCAAUUGGAGAAAGCCAAACAAGCUUCCCUAAGCCAUCACACACGAAGACGCACUGCUAGUUAGCCGGCCUCCAACUUUCAUACUCCACACUCAGAGCCCACCCGAGGCCCUCUCCUCCCCUUGGCAGGCCGGCCUUUGAGCCUUUGCCAAACACCCGCUGUGGCCGACUCCCCUGCUCUAGCGGGCUCUGUGAAAACGUCUUCCGUGCUCCUCGGCAGGUGGUCUCUCUCGACUUCCACACCCAGACGCCAAAGGCCACUGUGCUGCCGCCGCGAGGUGUAACGUCUGCUGCGGCAACUGGAGAAACUGCCACCUGAGCGAGAAAAACCGCCACCGGCGCGCGACUUUCUGGGAGUUGUAGUUCCUCGCGCCCAGCGGGCGCACUUCCGCCACCUACCGGAAGUGCCGCCAAUAGUCGCGCGCUCAGCUGAACCUGGCCGGGGAACCAGCGCGGAGGCUCCCCUGUGCCCCACAGCCCUGCCGAGUUCAGUACGUGGACACAGUUCUUCCACUGACUGGAAGACUACACUUGAAAGAGUCUGUCUGAAGAGGAUAUUGCUGUGGAAGGGCCAUCUUAUCACAUGGAAAUGAAAUACCAUGUUCAGGAGAAGGGCCCCAGAAUUUUUUCAGCAGAGAACAGCAAAGAUGGUAAGAACUAUGGAAACAUUAAUCAUAGCUUGUCUCUUAAUGAACACAAGCCAACGCAUUUGGAGAGUCAGUUCAGUUGUGACAAAUGCCUUGAACAGACUGAAAUAAGUCAUCCUGGAGAGGCACUACUCACAUAUAAGGACGACUGUGAUGCCUCCCACAUGGCCUCAUCUUUUACUUACUGUGACAUCAUUUAGACUGGAAAGAAGCCAUAUGAAUGUAAACAGUGUACAAGAUCUUUCAGCUGUUGCUCUAAGCUUGUACACCAGAGAACACACUGGAGAAAAGCCCUAUGAAUGUACUUGAUGUGGAAAGUCUUUCAGGCAGAGCUAUGACCUUGUAGUACACCAGAAAACUCACAUGGGAGAAAAACCCAACGAAUGUAAUCAAUGUGGAAAAUCCUUCAUCCAGAGUUCCAAACUCAUUAGGCAUCAAUGAACUCACACUGGAGAAAAACCAUAUACAUGUCGUGAAUGUGGAAAAUCUUUCAGGUGGAACUCUAACCUUUUGGUACAUCAAAUAAUUCACACUGCCUUAAAACUUAUGAGUAUGCUCAUUGUGGAAAGUCCUUCAGUCAGAGC
rnacentral:lncRNA from 1 species